CGUGUAGGCGGCCUGACCAAGUCGGAUGUGAAAUCCCUCGGCUCAACCGAGGAACUGCAUCCGAUACUGGUUGGCUAGAGUUCGGGAGAGGGUAGCGGAAUUCCCAGUGUAGCGGUGAAAUGCGUAGAUAUUGGGAAGAACACCGGUGGCGAAGGCGGCUACCUGGACCGAUACUGACGCUGAGGCGCGAAAGCCGAGGGGAGCGAAUG
rnacentral:rRNA from 1 species